UGAAGAUUAUUUUAUUUAGAAUAUUUAGCUGUUAACUAAAAGGUUUAUCUUCAU
rnacentral:tRNA from 1 species